AACGAACGCUGGCGGCAUGCCUAACACAUGCAAGUCGAACGAGACCUUCGGGUCUAGUGGCGCACGGGUGCGUAACGCGUGGGAACCUGCCCUUAUGUUCGGAAUAACUCCCCGAAAGGGGGGCUAAUACCGGAUAAGGUCUUCGGACCAAAGAUUUAUCGCCUUUGGAUGGGCCCGCGUUGGAUUAGGUAGUUGGUGGGGUAAAAGCCUACCAAGGCGACGAUCCAUAGCUGGUCUGAGAGGAUGAUCAGCCACACUGGGACUGAGACACGGCCCAGACUCCUACGGGAGGCAGCAGUGGGGAAUAUUAGACAAUGGGCGAAAGCCUGAUCCAGCCAUGCCGCGUGAGUGAUGAAGGCCUUAGGGUUGUAAAGCUCUUUCACCCGGGAUGAUAAUGACGGUACCGGGAGAAUAAGCCCCGGCUAACUCCGUG
rnacentral:rRNA from 1 species